UCCCUGGUGGCUCAGAUGGUAAAGCCUCUGCCUGCAGUGCAGGAGACCGGGGUUCAAUCCCUGGGUUGGGAA
rfam:TPA: Bos taurus chromosome 3, whole genome shotgun sequence.